rnacentral:rRNA from 1 species
GCGGCAGGCCUAACACAUGCAAGUCGAAUGGUAACAGGAAACAGCUUGCUGUUUCGCUGACGAGUGGCGGACGGGUGAGUAAUGUCUGGGAAACUGCCUGAUGGAGGGGGAUAACUACUGGAAACGGUAGCUAAUACCGCAUAACGUCGCAAGACCAAAGAGGGGGACCUUCGGGCCUCUUGCCAUCAGAUGUGCCCAGAUGGGAUUAGCUAGUAGGUGGGGUAACGGCUCACCUAGGCGACGAUCCCUAGCUGGUCUGAGAGGAUGACCAGCCACACUGGAACUGAGACACGGUCCAGACUCCUACGGGAGGCAGCAGUGGGGAAUAUUGCACAAUGGGCGCAAGCCUGAUGCAGCCAUGCCGCGUGUAUGAAGAAGGCCUUCGGGUUGUAAAGUACUUUCAGCGGGGAGGAGGGGAGUAAAGUUAAUACCUUUGCUCAUUGACGUUACCCGCAGAAGAAGCACCGGCUAACUCCGUGCCAGCAGCCGCGGUAAUACGGAGGGUGCAAGCGUUAAUCGGAAUUACUGGGCGUAAAGCGCACGCAGGCGGUUUGUUAAGUCAGAUGUGAAAUCCCCGGGCUCAACCUGGGAACUGCAUCUGAUACUGGCAAGCUUGAGUCUCGUAGAGGGGGGUAGAAUUCCAGGUGUAGCGGUGAAAUGCGUAGAGAUCUGGAGGAAUACCGGUGGCGAAGGCGGCCCCCUGGACGAAGACUGACGC